rnacentral:lncRNA from 1 species
ACAGGGAACAGGAUAUGCUUACUUUGAAGGAGUCUUAAGAUCAUCACAAGUUUUGAUGGUGUUCGUGUUGUCAAAUUCUUUGUUUAAUGUUAUGCAAUGUUAAUAAACCGUUGUUAGUCUCUACGUCGUUUUUCCUUUUGAUCGUUGUAUUGUCGUAUUGUUACUUCAGAUUUUUCAUUGUCUCUUUUGUUAUGUUCUGUGUUUUUUUAAUCAAGGUCUGAAAGUAAGUGAAAAUG